UUAUGUUAACUUAACACCUCCGGGAUUGACCCAUCUCCCAGAACAAAUCAUCUCGGGCUGAAUGGAACCUGGGUCCCUGCAGUCCGACAUAGGUUAUCACGUA